rnacentral:lncRNA from 1 species
AUUGUGGACUAUAUUUUGCCUUUAAUUGAGCCCACGACACUCCAAGUUCGUCUGUGAUAUAUGCUGUUUAGAUCCAAAUUUAUAUUUCACAUUUAUAACUCUUGUUAAUCUCAGUAAGAGAAAAAAUUCUGUUCCUACUUCUGGUGUAACAAGAUCCUUAGCGUGUUACUUGAAGAGUACUUCUGAAUCUAGCACUUAAUUUCCUCAGCAGCUAAAUAGCAUGCAUCUUUAAUGUGAAAAAGACUUUCACAUUAGGCACCUUGGCGAUAGAAACCCAUGCUAUUUCACUUUGAAAUUUAGAGAGCUAAAGGCAAGACUGGAGUUAGUGAUUGCAGUCUGGAGCAUAAGGAAAUUUAGUCAUUAAUGUCUUAAAGUGUUUCCAUGGAAGCAUGUUAGUUAUACAACAGAUAAACCUACAUCCAGCGGAAGUACUCUAUAAAGCAAUUGAAGUUCUAUAUUUUCACUUGAACUGAUAGUUGUACUGCAUUAAGGGCUUUAGGAUAGCACUUUUUGUUUUCUGUGUACUUCGCUGCAAUUUUUAUUUUAAUACAAAAUGUUUGUUUAAUCUUUCUAUAAAGAACAGUGAUAAAAUAAAAGGAUAACUCUAAUCCAUGAACUUCACCGACCAACACAAGUAAGGCCAGAAGCUGAUCCACAGUGCAGCAUGAAACAACAAUCAUUCUUACUUCAGAAUGAGAUCCAGCUUGAGGCUUCUCUACAAAAUUCUCCAAUGCGAGCUACCCCCCUCAUCACUGAGGCAAUCCUGUGCUGUUAUAUUUCCAAGCAAAGGAAAGAAGAAAAAUAUCUGCUGAAAGCUGUGAAGCAUGUUGGAAGUUUUAGACAAGGUUAAAGGUAAGAAAAAUACUUGUUUCACAACUGAAUUAGUUUUGAUUUCAAUUAAUUUGGC